AUACUUACCUGGCAGGAGACACACCAUGAUCGAGCAGGUGGUUUUCUCAGGGCGAGGUUCAUUUUUCUCACUCCGGGCGUGCUAAUCUCUGCGAUUUCCCCAAAUACGGGAAAUUCGAUUGCAUAAUUUGUGGUUAAUGGGGGACUGCGUUCGCGGUCUCCCCUA